UUUUCUUUAUUCUUAAAAUAUUUCAAGAACAUCAUGAGUGGAUUUCAAAAUUGGUUUGAUCCCUAUGGACCAAAUUCCACUUCUCAAAAUUCAAGUUUCUCUUCUCAUAAUUCUGACAAUCCUUCCCAAAAUUCUGACGUUCAUCCCAAUUUAAUUUUUUCUUGGCCAAAUAUGCUGAAUCCUCAAUAUAUUCUAUCAAUUUGAUUAGUCAAUCAGUCCCUCCAUGUCAACUUUCAUUUCAAGGGCAUCCGCCUUAGGGGUUUCGGCCAUAUGGAUAUGGGAUAUCCCCCGCUAGAGUUGCCCCCUAAGGACAUCCUUCGCAUAGGUUUAUGUUUCCAGGCCCCUCUAGGAUGAGCAAUGUAGAUGGGAGUGGUACCGAC
rnacentral:lncRNA from 1 species